rnacentral:rRNA from 1 species
UACGGAGGGUGCAAGCGUUAUCCGGAUUCACUGGGUUUAAAGGGUGCGUAGGUGGGCAGGUAAGUCAGUGGUGAAAUCUCCGUGCUUAACAUGGAAACUGCCAUUGAUACUAUGUUUCUUGAAUUUUCUGGAGGUUAGCGGAAUAUGUCAUGUAGCGGUGAAAUGCUUAGAUAUGACAUAGAACACCAAUUGCGAAGGCAGCUAGCUACAGGGAUAUUGACACUGAGGCACGAAAGCGUGGGGAUCAAACAGG